CCUACGGGAGGCAGCAGUCGGGAAUUUUGGGCAAUGGGCGAAAGCCUGACCCAGCAACGCCGCGUGAAGGAUGAAGUAUUUCGGUAUGUAAACUUCGAAAGAAUGGGAAGAAUAAAUGACGGUACCAUUUAUAAGGUCCGGCUAACUACGUGCCAGCAGCCGCGGUAAUACGUAGGGACCAAGCGUUGUUCGGAUUUACUGGGCGUAAAGGGCGCGUAGGCGGCUUGACAAGUCACUUGUGAAAUCUCCGGGCUUAACUCGGAACGGCCAAGUGAAACUGUCAUGCUAGAGUGCAGAAGGGGCAAUCGGAAUUCUUGGUGUAGCGGUGAAAUGCGUAGAUAUCAAGAGGAACACCUGAGGUGAAGACGGGUUGCUGGGCUGACACUGACGCUGAGGCGCGAAAGCCAGGGGAGCAAACGGGAUUAGAUACCCCCGGGUAGUCCUGGCCCUAAACGAUGAAUACUUGGUGUCUGGAGUAAAUAGUGCUCCGGGUGCCGUCGCUAACGUUUUAGUAUUCCGCCUGGGGNGGUACGCUCGCAGAGUAGUAACUUAAAUAGAAUAGACGGCGUGAGACGUGCCGACGGCGACGACGAGGGGAGGUAGG
rnacentral:rRNA from 1 species